CCUACGGGAGGCAGCAGUGAGGAAUAUUGGUCAAUGGCCGGAAGGCUGAACCAGCCAAGUCGCGUGAGUGACGACUGCCCUAUGGGUUGUAAACCUCUUUUAUAAGGGAAGAAUAAAUGCUACGUGUAGCAUGAUGCCUGUACCUUAUGUAUAAGCAUCGGCUAACUCCGUGCCAGCAGCCGCGGUAAUACGGGGGAUGCGAGCGUUAUCCGGAUUUAUUGGGUUUAACGGGUGCGUAGGCGGUUUUUUAAGUUAGUGGUUAAACGUCGGGGCUUCACCUUGAUUUGCCAUUAAUACUGUAAGACUCGAGUUCAGACGAGGUAGGCGGAAUAAGUUAAGUAGCGGUGAAAUGCUUAGAUAUAACUUAGAACUCCGAUAGCGAAGGCAGCUUACCGGACUGCGACUGACGCUGAAGCACGAGAGCGUGGGUAGCGAACAGGAUUAGAUACCCCAGUAGUC
rnacentral:rRNA from 1 species